ACCUCCCUUGAGGGCCGUGGAAGACGACCACGUCGAUAGGCCGGGGGUGCAAGCGCGGCGACGCGUUGAGCCGACCGGUACUAAUCGCCCGAUUGGCUUGAUCGCU
rnacentral:rRNA from 1 species